UGGGGGAUAUUGCACAAUGGGCGAAAGCCUGAUGCAGCGACGCCGCGUGGGGGAUGAAGGCCUUCGGGUUGUAAACUUCUUUUGCUCUGAACAAGGCAUGCUAAUGGGUGUGUCGAGUGUAGGGGUUGAUUAGCGCCGGCUAACUACGUGCCAGCAGCCGCGGUAAUACGUAGGGCGCGAGCGUUGUCCGGAAUUAUUGGGCGUAAAGGGCUUGUAGGUGGCUGGUUGCGUCUGUCGUGAAAGCUCAUGGCUUAACUGUGGGUUUGCGGUGGGUACGGGCUGGCUUGAGUGCAGUAGGGGAGGCUGGAAUUCCUGGUGUAGCGGUGGAAUGCGCAGAUAUCAGGAGGAAUACCGGUGGCGAAGGCGGGUCUCUGGGCUGUUACUGACACUGAGGAGCGAAAGCAUGGGGAGCGAACAGG
rnacentral:rRNA from 1 species